GUUUACUAUUCAAUAAACAUACUUACCCAACUAAUGACGUCACACGUUGUGCUGAAUCAGCAAUUUAUAUUUUGCACAUUUUUGCGUGUAACUUCGGAACUAGAUGAGAUAGAAUAGAGCAUUAAACGGCCAACCGGCUUAUUUUUUCAUGCUCUUUCAGAUGAAGCAAUAAAAAUGUUGGUUGCCAAUGUCCUUUAAAGUGCCUAUGACACGAAAUUUCACCCCAAAGGUUUAUGGUUGCAUUGUAAAGAUCACUUAAAACGACUUAAUAAUUUCUUUUAUAGAAUUUUGGUAACUUGCUUCCUUUGCAAGAUAUUCAACUUUGUUUCAUAUGCAAAUAUCACCGGUGUGACAUCACAUCGCAUAAUGAGUUUUCAGAAAAGUAUAGUUUUCUUGACGGAUACGUAUCUAAAAAACUUUAAAAUUGCCCUAGUAUAUGUAUCAAUUUCAUAACUGGUAAUUAACCCUC